rnacentral:rRNA from 1 species
UACGUAGGGGGCAAGCGUUGUUCGGAAUUACUGGGCGUAAAGGGCGCGUAGGCGGCACGGCAAGUCGGGAGUGAAAGCCCGGGGCUCAACCCCGGAACGUCUUUCGAAACUGCCGAGCUAGAGUGCGGAAGGGGCAACUGGAAUUCCCAGUGUAGCGGUGAAAUGCGUAGAUAUUGGGAAGAACACCUGAGGCGAAGGCGGGUUGCUGGGCCGACACUGACGCUGAGGCGCGAAAGCCAGGGGAGCGAACGGG